rnacentral:rRNA from 1 species
AUGAACGCUAGCUACAGGCUUAACACAUGCAAGUCGAGGGGCAGCAUGGUCUUAGCUUGCUAAGGCCGAUGGCGACCGGCGCACGGGUGAGUAACACGUAUCCAACCUGCCGUCUACUCUUGGACAGCCUUCUGAAAGGAAGAUUAAUACAAGAUGGCAUCAUGAGUCCACAUGUUCACAUGAUUAAAGGUAUUCCGGUAGACGAUGGGGAUGCGUUCCAUUAGAUAGUAGGCGGGGUAACGGCCCACCUAGUCUUCGAUGGAUAGGGGUUCUGAGAGGAAGGUCCCCCACAUUGGAACUGAGACACGGUCCAAACUCCUACGGGAGGCAGCAGUGAGGAAUAUUGGUCAAUGGGCGAGAGCCUGAACCAGCCAAGUAGCGUGAAGGAUGACUGCCCUAUGGGUUGUAAACUUCUUUUAUAAAGGAAUAAAGUCGGGUAUGCAUACCCGUUUGCAUGUACUUUAUGAAUAAGGAUCGGCUAACUCCGUGCCAGCAGCCGCGGUAAUACGGAGGAUCCGAGCGUUAUCCGGAUUUAUUGGGUUUAAAGGGAGCGUAGAUGGAUGUUUAAGUCAGUUGUGAAAGUUUGCGGCUCAACCGUAAAAUUGCAGUUGAUACUGGAUAUCUUGAGUGCAGUUGAGGCAGGCGGAAUUCGUGGUGUAGCGGUGAAAUGCUUAGAUAUCACGAAGAACUCCGAUUGCGAAGGCAGCCUGCUAAGCUGCAACUGACAUUGAGGCUCGAAAGUGUGGGUAUCAAACAGGAUUAGAUACCCUGGUAGUCCACACGGUAAACGAUGAAUACUCGCUGUUUGCGAUAUACAGCAAGCGGCCAAGCGAAAGCGUUAAGUAUUCCACCUGGGGAGUACGCCGGCAACGGUGAAACUCAAAGGAAUUGACGGGGGCCCGCACAAGCGGUGGAGUAUGUGGUUUAAUUCGAAGCAACGCGAAGAACCUUACCAGGUCUUGACAUCCUUCUGACCACUCCGUAAUGGGAGUCUUCCUUCGGGACAGAAGAGACAGGUGGUGCAUGGUUGUCGUCAGCUCGUGUCGUGAGAUGUUGGGUUAAGUCCCGCAACGAGCGCAACCCUUGUGAUAUGUUACUAACAUUGAGUUGAGGACUCAUAUCAGACUGCCGGUGAUAAACCGGAGGAAGGUGGGGAUGACGUCAAAUCAUCAUGCCCUUUAUGACUUGGGCUACACACGUACUACAAUGGCGUUAAACAAAGAGAAGCAAGACCGCGAGGUGGAGCAAAACUCAAAAACAACGUCUCAGUUCAGAUUGCAGGCUGCAACUCGCCUGCAUGAAGUCGGAAUUGCUAGUAAUCGCGGAUCAGCAUGCCGCGGUGAAUACGUUCCCGGGCCUUGUACACACCGCCCGUCACACCAUGAGAGCCGGGGGGACCCGAAGUCGGUAGUCUAACCGCAAGGAGGACGCCGCCGAAGGUAAAACUGGUGAUUGGGGUG